rnacentral:lncRNA from 1 species
GUAAACGUUAUCUUAAUCAUAAAUAAACGCAGGUGAAAAAGCUGUCAACAAGUGCAAUUUGGGUACCCUCGCUAGCUCACGUUAGAUUCAUAGUAACAAUUGAAAACACAUUUCUAAAUGAAAACCCCACAUUUCUUAAUAACAACUUUUUUAUAUCUUAACUCUAUCUGUUUUCUCUUUCUCUUUCGUAUCAAUUUUUGGAAUAUUUAAGUAUCUUUGACUCCUGAAAUACAUUACAUUCAAAUUCCCUCCUUUCUGUCGCUGUUUGUGUCAUGAAAAGCCGUUCUUGUGUUCAUCUUUUAUUUAUCUUGAUUUCUUUGCAUAAAAUUUCAAGUUCUUUUUCUCUUUGUAUUUCUUAGCUUCAAGCUUUUUCAUUCUUUAGCUUCGAGCUUCGUUUUCUGUUGGAUUCCUUAGCUUGAAGAAUUUUUCCUGAUAUUCUUUAGCUUCAAGCUUCGUUUUCUGUU